UACGUAGGGCGCAAGCGUUAUCCGGAAUCAUUGGGCGUAAAGGGCGCGUAGGCGGCCAUUCAAGUGACGGGUGAAAGCCCUCGGCUUAACCGAGGAACUGCCUGUCAGACUGGAUGGCUUGAGACCGGGAGAGGUGAGUGGAAUUCCCAGUGUAGCGGUGAAAUGCGUAGAUAUUGGGAGGAACACCAGUGGCGAAGGCGGCUCACUGGACCGGAACUGACGCUGAGGCGCGAAAGCGUGGGGAGCAAACAGG
rnacentral:rRNA from 1 species